rnacentral:rRNA from 1 species
GUUGAAACAAAGAAACAUGUUCUUUAUGACUUGGUUUACUUACUUCUCAAGUUGGUAUUGAUCCUACCGGUUUCUACGGCGACGGUUGAAAAAGUAUUUUCCUCCAUGAGCCUAGUCAAGACUAUUUAA